rnacentral:rRNA from 1 species
UACGAAGGGGGGCUAGCGUUGCUCGGAAUCACUGGGCGUAAAGGGCGCGUAGGCGGUCGCGUAAGCGUGUGGUGAAAGCCCGGGGCUCAACCCCCGGGUCGGCCAUGCGAACUGCGGGACUGGAGCCGAUCAGAGGCAGGCGGAAUUCCGGGUGUAGCGGUGGAAUGCGCAGAUAUCAGGAGGAACACCGGUGGCGAAGGCGGGUCUCUGGGCAGUAACUGACGCUGAGGAGCGAAAGCGUGGGGAGCGAACAGG